AGAAGCGGCACCCGGCAAUGGCAUGCAGAUCGACGAGGAUGCAUGGCAUGCAUGCAUCCUUCUACUUGGUGCUAGCGCUACACAUAGAAGCAGCUGCGGCGGGAGUGCAGCGGCGCUCGCAGAAGUUGACGAGGAUGUCGGCGCAGCGGUAGGCGUGCACGGGCGGGAUGUCGACGCCACCGUCGGCGGUGUACCUGAUGCACCGCUUGCACUCUGGGUGGCACCCGACCAUCGAGAAGUCCAGGCAUUGGCACUGCGGCGGGUAAGACAAUUUGCAGAAACCGCACUCGUUGCAGCACGGCCACGAGCUCGUUCCGGCGGCGUCCACGGCGGCGACUGCCGCCCCUCCGUCUUCCUCCUCCGUCCCUGCAUGCCGUGGCCGCCAUGCAGCAAAUAAGACAACGUGCAUAUGUGCGCGUAUACCUUACCAAGUGAUUCUUCUGUGGAAAAAAAGUUGAAGGAACAAAAAUCACUCACCUUUGCUGAGUGGCAGAGCUGCAAGGACGACGACGAUAACAGCCAGUGUGACGAGUAACACCCGAGGCCUCAUGGUCGCUUCUCUCCGCAACUUUGUUGCUUUAAUUUCCUCCUAGCUUCCUACUGUGUAGUAGUAUUGAUCGACGACGGAGACCGUAUGAGGCUCGAG
rnacentral:misc_RNA from 1 species